UACGGAGGAUGCAAGCGUUAUCCGGAUUUAUUGGGUUUAAAGGGUGCGCAGGUUGUUUGAUAAGUCAGUGGUGAAAGUCUGUCGCUUAACGGUAGGAUUGCCAUUGAUACUGUUGGACUUGAAUAUGGAUGAGGUAGGCGGAAUGUGUAGUGUAGCGGUGAAAUGCAUAGAUAUUACACAGAACACCGAUUGCGAAGGCAGCUUACUAAUCCAUCAUUGACGCUGAGGCGCGAAAGAGUGGGGAUCAAACAGGA
rnacentral:rRNA from 1 species